rnacentral:hammerhead_ribozyme from 1 species
GCAUUGCUGAGAAGUCCCAUAAUAGGACGAAACGACCGUCCAAUGC